GAUGAACGCUGGCGGCGUGCCUAAUACAUGCAAGUCGAGCGAAUGGAUUAAGAGCUUGCUCUUAUGAAGUUAGCGGCGGACGGGUGAGUAACACGUGGGUAACCUGCCCAUAAGACUGGGAUAACUCCGGGAAACCGGGGCUAAUACCGGAUAACAUUUUGAACCGCAUGGUUCGAAAUUGAAAGGCGGCUUCGGCUGUCACUUAUGGAUGGACCCGCGUCGCAUUAGCUAGUUGGUGAGGUAACGGCGCACCAAGGCAACGAUGCGUAGCCGGCCUGAGAGGGUGAGCGGCCACACUGGGACUGAGACAGGGCCCAGACUCCAGCGGGAGGCAGCAGUCGGGAAUCUUCCGGAAGGGACGAAAGUCUGACGGAGCAACGCCGCGUGAGUGAUGAAGGCUUUCGGGUCGUAAAACUCUGUUGUUAGGGAAGAACAAGUGCUAGUUGAAUAAGCUGGCACCUUGACGGUACCUAACCAGAAAGCCACGGCUAACUACGUGCCAGCCGCCGCGGUAA
rnacentral:rRNA from 1 species